AGAAUCAACGCUGGCGGCGUGCCUAACACAUGCAAGUCGCACGAGAAAGGGUAGCAAUACCUGAGUAAAGUGGCGCACGGGUGAGUAACACGUGAAUGAUCUACCUCCGAGUGGGGAAUAACUGAGAGAAAUCUUAGCUAAUACCGCAUAACACUUACGAGUCAAAGCAGCAAUGCGCUUGGAGAGGAGUUCGCGGCCGAUUAGUUAGUUGGCGGGGUAAUGGCCCACCAAGACGAUGAUCGGUAUCCGGCCUGAGAGGGCGCACGGACACACUGGAACUGAAACACGGUCCAGACUCCUACGGGAGGCAGCAGUGGGGAAUUUUGCGCAAUGGGGGAAACCCUGACGCAGCAACGCCGCGUGGAGGAUGAAAUAUCUUGGUAUGUAAACUCCUUUCGAUGGGGAAGAUUAUGACGGUACCCAUAGAAGAAGCCCGGCUAACUUCGUGCCAGCAGCCGC
rnacentral:rRNA from 1 species